UACGGGGGGGCAAGCGUUGUUCGGAAUUACUGGGCGUAAAGGGCUCGUAGGCGGCCAACUAAGUCAGACGUGAAAUCCCUCGGCUUAACCGGGGAACUGCAUCUGAUACUGGAUGGCUUGAGUUCGGGAGAGGGAUGCGGAAUUCCAGGUGUAGCGGUGAAAUGCGUAGAUAUCGGAGGAACACCGGUGGCGAAGGCGGCAUCCUGGACCGGCACUGACGCUGAGGAGCGAAAGCCAGGGGAGCCAAAGCGGGG
rnacentral:rRNA from 1 species